AUAUAUUUUAAAUCCAGUAAUGAGUGUUUAUUUUUGUUCAUCAGUGAAUGAAAACGGUUUUUAUCCUAAUAUGAAUUCAGCUUAUGAUCCUGAAUUUAUAUUGUUAAAGCAGUUAAUGAUAUUAUUUCAGAGUUAUAACUGACUUAGCAAAGUCACGUUAUUUAUUUAAGCGAGAUGAAAUUUGAUUUUAUUUUUACUCAGAUCGUGAAUUAUUUCCGACUCAGGAAGUUAAUUAAAUCUGCGGAUUUAAUUUAGAUAUCAGAACAACGAACGAAUUAAAUCUACGGAUUUAAUUUAGAUUCAUUUUAUAAUUUAUCGGUUUUAGUGAGAAAUCACAUGUCGAAAUACGAGAUUUAUUUAAAUAAACAGUAUCAAGCAUAUACGAGCACACGAUCCAUCUUACAGUUACAGAAUCACCGAGACAGAGAAAAUACAUCAAUAAUUCUCCUCUACAUUUUUUUUCCUUUCUUUUUCUUCUCUUUUUCUUUCCAUUAAUUUUGUUCCCCACUCCAUCAACUCCACUACCCUAUGCUCCCCACCAUCUCCACUACCUUUGCUCCCCAUCAACUCCAACACUUCACCCAUUCCUUCCAUUUCGCACCAGCAAUCACAAAGAGAAGGAAGACUUGGCUUAACUACUUUGCCAAGAUUUCAAGCUGCUCCAGUCCAGUAGUACCCCAACACUCGAAGCUAGAGUUUAUUGGGUGAAAAACCGUGCAUGAGGUCGAGCGCAAGAAUAAGAGCUCGUCAAGGAGUCACUAAUCUGUAGCAAAGCUUUGCUAUCAGGUUGAGCAGCUGCCGAUGGUGAUGAAGUGACGAGCGGGACUCUUUUGUCUUAUUAUGUAUUAAUGAACUCUAGGGUUACAUGUCUUCAUACAUGUAAUCAGAACCUUAUUCCGCUGCGUACUCAGAAGUUUUAUGUUAUUUUGGAUAAGUCGGAGUUAUCCGAACUUGUUAGUUAUUUGAGUCUAUACGACAAAAACUCUGUUAUAUUAUAGAUAUCUAUGUUGUUAACAAUGAUGAAAUACGAUCCUUUCUUGUUUGAUUA